UACGUAGGGUGCGAGCGUCGUCCGGAAUUAUUGGGCGUAAAGGGCUCGUAGGCGGUCUGUCGCGUCGAAAGUGAAAACCCAGGGCUUAACCCUGGGCCUGCUUCCGAUACGGGCAGACUAGAGGUAUGCAGGGGAGAACGGAAUUCCUGGCGUAGCGGUGAAAUGCGCAGAUAUCAGGAGGAACACCGGUGGCGAAGGCGGUUCUCUGGGCAUUACCUGACGCUGAGGAGCGAGAGUGUGGGGAGCGAACAGG
rnacentral:rRNA from 1 species